GACGAACGCUGGCGGCGUGCCUAAUACAUGCAAGUUGAGCGCUGAAGGUUGGUACUUGUACCAACUGGAUGAGCAGCGAACGGGUGAGUAACACGUGGGGAAUCUGCCUUUGAGCGGGGGACAACAUUUGGAAACGAAUGCUAAUACCGCAUAAAAACUUUAAACACAAGUUUUAAGUUUGAAAGAUGCAAUUGCAUCACUCAAAGAUGAUCCCGCGUUGUAUUAGCUAGUUGGUGAGGUAAAGGCUCACCAAGGCGAUGAUACAUAGCCGACCUGAGAGGGUGAUCGGCCACAUUGGGACUGAGACACGGCCCAAACUCCUACGGGAGGCAGCAGUAGGGAAUCUUCGGCAAUAGACGAAAGUCUGACCGAGCAACGCCGCGUGAGUGAAGAAGGGUUUCGGAUCGUAAAACUCUGUUGGUAGAGAAGAACGUUGGUGAGAGUGGAAAGCUCAUCAAGUGACGGUAACUACCCAGAAAGGGACGGCUAACUACGUG
rnacentral:rRNA from 1 species